GACGAACCGUCCAAACGUUAUUCGGAAUUACUGGGCUUAAAGGGUGCGUAGGCGGCGCGGAAAGUUGGGUGUGAAAUCCCUCGGCUCAACUGAGGAACUGCCUUUGAAACUGUCGGGCUUGAGGCCGGGAGGGGGUAGCGGAAUUCCCAGUGUAGCGGUGAAAUGCGUAGAUACUGGGAGGAACACCAGUGGCGAAGGCGGCUACCUGGACCGGUUCUGACGCUGAUGCGCGAAAGCGUGGGUAGCAAACAGG
rnacentral:rRNA from 1 species